GAUCAUGGCUCAGGAUGAACGGCUGGCGGCAUGCCUAACACAUGCAAGUCGAACGAAGCACAUGACGAAGCUUGCUUAAGAUUGUGACUUAGUGGCGGACGGGUGAGUAACGCGUGAGCAAUCUGUCCCAUACAGGGGGAUAACAACUGGAAACAGUUGCUAAUACCGCAUGAGACCACAGAGCCGCAUGGUUCAGGGGUCAAAGGAGUAAUCCGGUAUGGGGUGAGCUCGCGUCCGAUUAGCUAGUUGGUGAGGUAACGGCCCACCAAGGCAACGAUCGGUAGCCGACCUGAGAGGGUGAUCGGCCACAUUGGAACUGAGACACGGUCCAAACUCCUACGGGAGGCAGCAGUGGGGAAUAUUGGGCAAUGGGCGAAAGCCUGACCCAGCAACGCCGCGUGAAGGAAGAAGGUUUUCGGAUUGUAAACUUCUGUCCUUGGUGACGAAGGAAGUGACGGUAGCCAAGGAGGAAGCCCCGGCUAACUACGUG
rnacentral:rRNA from 1 species